CUAAGAGAGAGCUGUAGGCACAUCUUGGACGGGAAGACUUUGGAGAGGACGUGUGCACAUUUGAUGUGGACGUAGACCAUAAGCUGCGUUGGCUAGUACAGGCCAUCUGAAUGGAGGAGCAAAUCUCAGGCCCUAGAUUAUUCCUCAUGGGCAUCCUUCUUUAUGGUACUACUGUGUGUGGAAUGGUUGAGAAGGUGAAAACAACUUCACUCCCAUCCUAUGUUGAAGCAAGCUAGAACACUUUAUUGCUGGAGCCACGUUAGAUCACAGAGUGGUGUGCCAGCUGCCUCCAGUGGGACCCUGACCGGCAUGCCGCACAUUAGACCACUACCGUACCUCAACCACCAGAACCCUAACUCCCCAGGAACUUCAUGCAGAUUUUCCUUAGCUUGGCGCAUACCAGCUAAAACUACAAGCCUUCUCUCCACCCCCUCUGGUGCCUCCACGGUGGGUCUGGAGGGUGACAGCAGCCCGUCCUCCUUGGCCAUGGUGUGCAGAACUGGAAGCCAGUCAGAAGCCUGCCACAGUGGGCAUCUGGGGCUGGAGAUUUGUAUAUGUCAAGCAUAAUCGUGGUCCACUGUAUGAGUGUUUUUAUUGUAGUACUUUUUAAAAUUCAGGUCCCAUUUGCCAUCUUUUAAAUUAAAAUGAUAGCUUCCGAUGCUUAGUCUUACUUGUUGCAAGCAUAAUUAUAACAAAAGGUUUGUUGAAAAUAAUGUCAAAUAAAGAAUAAUC
ensembl:lncRNA